CGUUCUUUGGUAUUUAAAAGGUGGAUUUUCCUUCCAUGAUUACAUGUUGCCUUCUUAAUCAUAGAGGAAAUUCCACGUUUUCAGUAUCAA
rnacentral:pre_miRNA from 1 species